rnacentral:rRNA from 1 species
GAGUUUGAUCUUGGCUCAGAUUGAACGCUGGCGGCAUGCCUUACACAUGCAAGUCGAACGGUAACAGGUCUUCGGAUGCUGACGAGUGGCGAACGGGUGAGUAAUACAUCGGAACGUGCCCGAUCGUGGGGGAUAACGGAGCGAAAGCUUUGCUAAUACCGCAUACGAUCUACGGAUGAAAGCAGGGGACCGCAAGGCCUUGCGCGGACGGAGCGGCCGAUGGCAGAUUAGGUAGUUGGUGGGAUAAAAGCUUACCAAGCCGACGAUCUGUAGCUGGUCUGAGAGGACGACCAGCCACACUGGGACUGAGACACGGCCCAGACUCCUACGGGAGGCAGCAGUGGGGAAUUUUGGACAAUGGGCGAAAGCCUGAUCCAGCCAUGCCGCGUGCAGGAUGAAGGCCUUCGGUU